AUGAAAUCAUUGAGGUGCAUAUUAUAUUUGGCUCUUCUCAAAGGAGUCCAAUCUCAAGUCCAGUUGGUGGAGUCUGGAGGGGAUGUGAGAAGACCUGGAGAGACCCUCCGUCUCUCCUGCCAAGCCUCUGGAUUCACCUUCAGCAGCUAUGCCAUGAGCUGGGUGAGACAGGCUCCAGGGAAAGGACUGGAAUGGGUGUCCCGCAUAAACACUGCUUCUAGAACUCACUACUCUGACAAAGUGAAGGGACGCUUCACCAUCUCCAGGGACAAUGCCAAAAGCCAGCUGUAUCUGCAAAUGAACAACCUCAAAACUGAAGACACAGGAGUCUAUUACUGUGCAAGAGACACAGUGAGAGGAAGUGAAUCAGAAGCCAAACAAAAACCUUCCUUUCUUUACUCUUCAACUUUAUGGCGCCCCACAUCCUUGAUUAGUCAUUGA